GUGCCAGCCGCCGCGGUAAUACGGAGGGUGCAAGCGUUGUUCGGAAUUAUUGGGCGUAAAGCGCGUGUAGGCGGUCAUCUAAGUCUGGUGUGAAAGCCCGGGGCUUAACUCCGGAAGUGCACUGGAUACUGGAUGACUAGAGGACGAGAGAGGAAAGUGGAAUUCCUGGUGUAGGGGUGAAAUCCGUAGAUAUCAGGAGGAACAUCAGUGGCGAAGGCGGCUUUCUGGCUCGUAUCUGACGCUGAGACGCGAAAGCGUGGGGAGCAAACAGGAUUAGAUACCCUGGUAGUCCACGCCCUAAACGAUGGAUACUAGUCGUCGGAAUACCUAAUUGUUUCGGUGACGAAGUUAACGCAUUAAGUAUCCCGCCUGGGGAGUACGGUCGCAAGAUUAAAACUUAAAGAAAUUGGCGG
rnacentral:rRNA from 1 species